rnacentral:rRNA from 1 species
CAGUCGCCGCGGGAAUACGUAGGGUGCGAGCGUUAAUCGGAAUUACUGGGCGUAAAGCGUGCGCAGGCGGUUCGUUAAGACAGAUGUGAAAUCCCCGGGCUUAACCUGAGAACUGCAUUUGUGACUGGCGAGCUAGAGUAUGGCAGAGGGGGGUAGAAUUCCACGUGUAGCAGUGAAAUGCGUAGAGAUGUGGAGGAAUACCGAUGGCGAAGGCAGCCCCCUGGGCCAAUACUGACGCUCAUGCACGAAAGCGUGGGGAGCAAACAGGAUUAGAUACCCCUGUAGUCCCUGUCUCUUAUAC